UACGUAGGGGGCAAGCGUUGUCCGGAAUCAUUGGGCGUAAAGCGCGUGUAGGCGGUCCGGUAAGUCCGCUGUGAAAGUCGAGGGCUCAACCCUCGAAUGCCGGUGGAUACUGUCGGGCUAGAGUGCGGAAGAGGCGAGUGGAAUUCCCGGUGUAGCGGUGAAAUGCGCAGAUAUCGGGAGGAACACCAGUGGCGAAGGCGGCGAUCUGGGAAGAUACUGACGCUGAGGUGCGAAAGCGUGGGGAGCAAACAGG
rnacentral:rRNA from 1 species